rnacentral:rRNA from 1 species
GUCGAGAAUUUUUCACAAUGGGCGCAAGCCUGAUGGAGCGACGCCGCGUGGGGGAUGAAUGGCUUCGGUCCGUAAACCCCUGUCAUUCGGAAACAAUGCUGGCGACUUAAUAGGUUGCCGGUUGAUAGUACCGGAAGAGGAAGGGACGGCUAACUCUGUGCCAGCAGCCGCGGUAAUACAGAGGUCCCAAGCGUUGUUCGGAUUCACUGGGCGUAAAGGGUGCGUAGGUGGUUGGGUAAGUCUGAUGUGAAAUCUCGGAGCCUAACUCCGAAACGGCAUCGGAUACUAUCUAGCUUGAGGGCUGGAGGGGGGACUGGAAUUCUCGGUGUAGCAGUGAAAUGCGUAGAUAUCGAGAGGAACGCCAAUGGCGAAGGCUAGUCUCUGGACAGCACCUGACACUGAGGCACGAAAGCUAGGGGAGCAAACAGGAUUAGAAACCCCGGUAGUCC